UUUAAUAACACGUCUUGUCGAGUUAAUUCAUCCUUUCAACUUGAUUUUGUGCUAUCUGUGCUCAGCAAACAUGACUCUUCCAUCCAAAGCUGUAGUUACUCGUAGGUACUACAUGAUACCUUACUCAUGGCCUCUUAUAUAUAAAAUAGAGCUUGUUGUGUUCCUGAGUGUUCCAGAAAUAACAAGCAAGCGCUUGUGUCUACUAGGUCAGUUCAUUCACUAACUAGACUUGCUGCUUCAUUAGUCGAGUUUUUAAGCCUCCAAAUACUACACUAGGUCUGAUCCCGUUGUCAGGGCUAAAUUCAGUUAACACUGUACUAAUAAUAAAACCGUGGUUUUAUUAUUUUUUUGUUUAGGUCACUUGCCGUUAUGACGAGUUAUCACGUCUGAAAUCUUAAGAUUUUGCUACGGAGACGUCAUCCUUUGGCCAGUUGUUCUUGAAAGACAUUUCUCUUCAAUGGCUAAGGCCACUUCGAUUUAGUUUGUUUCAAUAAAUCCAUGAAGGCAAUUCGAUACAACUCCGGCAUUUCGAUGGCUCUGUUAAGUCAUUGAGUUCCCGAAAAAAAUCAAAAGCAGAAAAAACGUAACGGCUUUAAACAAUCGGUGUCACUGCUCGUAACAAAACACUUCUCUAAAAUUUUCAAGUUUUCAAAUUUUGCACAUUUUUUUUAAGUUCGGAUACAGGGAACGCAAUGGUACUCAAGGCAGCGAAAUUUGCUACGCUGUUUGUAUUCUACAAGUAUUGUUUUGUGGUAAUCAGUGUAAGUACGACAUUCGUCUUAGUAACAAAUUAUUUUGUCGCAAGUCAGUCUUUGAGAACUGCUUUGCUAAAAGCGUGUUAUUUAGUACUUGGUUUUGUUUUGUGCAUUAAAUAAGAUCACGAAGUCAAUAGAUUCAUUAUACUCUUGAAAGUUUGUAUUUGCGAAAUUAUUAAAACUAAAAAUAAAAAAAUUCAGAACUAAUGGGUAAUUUAUGAGAGUUGUAAAACGUACAAGAUAUUUGAAUUAUGUAUGCUUAGUUUAGUUGUAAGAGACUCGUGCUUGUAAGUGUGCCAGAUGCGUGCCUAUAAAUCUUAACGUAAUUGAGGCUUUUACACGUAAAUGUUUGAAGAAAUAAGUUUUAGCGUUUCAAUUGCUUUUUGUGGAAAUUGGCGGGGCUGUAUCAGUUUGCCUUGAUGGAUGUACUGAAACAUCAGUUUCAAUCAAGACGACGGAGGAGGAAGAAUAACCAGGAACAACUUUAUCAUGAAAAUAUGUUAAUACGUCGAAGAUAGUGCUAUUCAACCCAAGCUCUAGACCUUAAUUCAGCCGCCAUGACGUCAUGACAGGGCAGGAGUCGACAGCAAUUGACUCGGCUCAAUGCUAAGGUACAUUCUGAGGGAAGUGAAAGAAAGCCAAAAGGUUCAAGAAGGACAUUGAAGGAGAAGAAAGCAGGUGAACAAGAAGAAGACAGAAGAUGACGGUGUACUACCAGAAGGAAUUUUUUUAUAAAACAAACACUUCAAGUUAUUGUGGCUGGAAAAGGAUUAAUAUAAAGAUUGACAACUCACUAUAUUAGGAUGCAUAGGUUUUAAUGUAAACUACUUAGCUUAGAUCAGCUAUUAAGUAGUUAUGUAUGAUGCAGGAUACAGUUUCGUCUUUACUCGAAUCUAGUGUUUUGAAAUCAGUUUGGUAUAGGUAGUUUAAAUUCCUUAUUCAAUAUUAGCUGUCUGGUAUGGUUCAGGAUAUGUGCUCCUUUUUUUCGUAGGAUUCAUAACCGUUUUAAGAUAAGCUUGAUAAACCUCAGUUGUUCCUGGGUAAAUACAUUUUUUCCACGUAGAUAUCUUAAGAGUUUAUUUAAUAUAUCUAUGCUUCAAGAUACAUAAUUGUCACUUGAACUUCUUAGCUAUUAGCUAUAAAUUAGCUUAGUUCGUUUCUAGAUUCAUAAUUUGUACAUACAAUUCUCAUUAGUUUUGAUAGCUAUCAGGUAGUCCGUUUCAGGAUUCAUAAUUUAUAUCGAAAAGUUACGUAUCUUUAAAGAUAUUUUUCAUUUUUUAAAUUCCAAUCAUUAGUUUUGAUUUGAAGACUCCAAUAAGUCAUUGAUCAUUGCAUAUGUACUUACCUGGCUAAGAAGGUAAUCUUAAUUUUCAUUCAUUUUCCUGAAGUUCCUGUAAAAUCGUAGCAAAAUUAUUAUUAAUCAUUUAGAAGGUUUUAAUGAUUGGGUAGAACAGAACAGGUCAUAUUUUCAGCUUAAAUACAGAUGAUUCCUAAUAGUUUUUCUCGCGUGUCUUUUGUUGGUAGAUACAACUAACAGGAAGGAUCUGGAAUUAAGCUUCUCGUCUGUUCCCUGUAGCCACAAGAUCUAGUUUGCUACAGAUAGCGAUUCAUAUAUAAGAGUUCCGUCAGAAUGAAUUUUGUAGUAGUUUUUUGGUCUUGUUAUUGAAAUAUUCUUUGAAUUAAAAGUCAAUGGCGCCUGUCGCCUUGUUCAUUAUGAAUAGAGUUCAUUGGUAGGACCUUUUACUUUAAGACUUGGGUUAUAGAAAGUUGUUUUUUCUUCCUUUGAGAGAGAGAGAGAGAGAGAGAGAGA